AAUUAAAUUAAAUCUUUGAACAAUUUUCUUUUAUAAAACCAAUCCAUUUAUUGAAUGGCCAGCUGAUUGCGACGCCCAGAACCUGCAGAAAAGCCGUUUUCCUAUCGCCAUUUUCGAGUCAAUUCGCCAAAUUUUAUCAAAUCACACCAAUUGCUAGUGAAAAAUGGAAGCCUUUUCUCUCCAAUAAGUGGACGCGAUGCCGCAAGAGACAAGAUUGAAGUGCAGCCAACACUGCAUGGUGCUU